CCGCCUUCAUCAGAUCGGGAGGAGCUUGCCCUUCUCUUAAGUCUCUUUAAAUCUUUGCUCUGAAUGUCCAUUACGAUUGGAAAGAUAACUUCUUGGAGGGAUCAGAAAAAUUCUGAUGGAUAAUGUUGAUCUAGAUUCUUGGCUUGAUUGCGUAAUGCUCUUCUAGUGCUUGUGCGUGGGGUUUAUUGAUCUCUUAUUUUAUUUUAACCUCAACUGAUACAUGUGUGUGAUUGGGCUGUUGCACAUGUUUCUUAUGCUUCCUUCGUUCUGUUGCCCCUUUUCCUUUUUCUUUCUCUCUCUCUCUCUCUCUGCUGUGUACUAUGGGGCCAUGUUUCGCACUGUGUAUGCAAGCUUUAUUCUUUGUCUCUGUUUUUCCUUUGUUUCUCCUCCCUUUUAUGUAUAACAGCCCUUUGCCUUUGAUGGUUGCAACGUCAUUUAAGUCUUUUGGCACCGGCGAUCUUGGCUUGUAGAGUUCUUAUACUCUUCACAUUUAUAUCAGAUUGUGCUCAAAGAUUGAUAGUAUCUGCUAUGCUUGACUUUGUUUAUUUGGUGAGAAAUCGAAAAGGCGCCAUGAUGUCUGUGGUCACUAGUUACUCCCUCCGAUCCAUAUUAAUUUUAUUGUCUAAAUAUUACAUGUAUCUAGACAUUUUUUAGGCAUAGAUACUGCAUCCAUAUUUUGGCAAAUUUGAGACAAUUAAUAUGGAUCGGAGGGAGUAGUAUUUUGGAGUUUGGAUGAUGGAAAAUUCCUGAGUUUUCAUGCUCUUUGCUUUUCAGCAGUUUGGAUGCUUCAGGUGAUAUUUUGUGAUAUACCUGUUUUUGGGAAGUUGACAGUGAAGGUGUUUGAAAUUUGAGACAACAAAAUUUGUGAAAUGCAUGUAGAAUCCUAUUGUGUUAUCUAAUACUCCCUCCGUGUACUAAAACCACGACAAGAAUUUAGGGACGGAGGGAGUAUUCAUCAUACCACAAACUUCAAUUUGUCCUAUGGUUAUCAUAGAAGGCUUAAAAGGAAAAAAAGGAAUCCUUUAAGUCUAGUUCAUUUUUCUCAUCAAAUUGGGCCUUGCUUAUAGAAUGAUACCAGUCGAUGUGAAUCGUAAAGAAUAUGGUGGUCUUCUUCUUCCCAAAAAUUACCCUUCCCCUAUGUAUUCUUCCCAGAACUGGAGUACCGGUACAAAAUCACCUCCUCCAGAAUACCCAACAAGUUAUUGUUGAUCUUGCAUCACUGAGGUUGAUGCAGAUGCAACACACACAUCUCUAUGUUGUACACAUGUGUGGCAGAUCUUGGCUGCAUGGUGGUCCACGGAUAACAUGGCGACGUCUUAGAUGCAACACAAAUGGUGCUGAUUGUCGGCUGUGGGAGUCAUAGGUCAUGACCUGGUGCUGGUGGCACUCUAGAGGAGAUGGGUGCUGUAUGACAGCGCGUGGAGCAUUUAAGUGAAUCGCGAAGUGGUAUAGAUCGGAGGCUGCCUAGGAGGCGCUGGAGCACAUGCUUUGUGAUCUCUGUGGCUGCCGCCAGGAUGGUGCGUACGAGGCGAGCUCGGUACCCAUAUUGGGUCAGGAAUAGGUUGGAUAGAGUCUUCGGAGGAAGACUAUGGGUGUAUAUGGUUUUGAGCCAAAGCUACCCAUGUGAAAAUAUUGGCAGCCCGUGAUAAUUUGGUGCUUGUUUGCUUUGUUGCAAAAAAUUUGGUUGUCAAUGAGUAUAUACCCAUCCGUUGCCCGUCAAUUGUUGGCUCAAGAAUUGUUGGCCAUAAAAUUGGUAAGCCAAAUUUUGCUUGA